GUAGGUGAACCUGCGGAAGGAUCAUUACAAAUCGUGUUGUCUGAGGUGUAUCCGUUAGGAUAUUCUCAGGCACAUUCGCCCGGGGAUGGUUGUAAAAGAUCAUUCCCGAAGGUGUUGGUUGGUUUUAGUGGUUGGUCGUGAAAAGCGAUCACACUACGAACACUGCCAAUAUUCACGCUUGUCGAGUUUGACCGAGUUUAUUAAUACACAAGACAAAUACAACUUUUAACAAUGGAUCUCUUGGCUCUU
rnacentral:misc_RNA from 1 species